UACAGGGGGUGCAAACGUUGCUCGGAAUUAUUGGGCGUAAAGCGCGCGUAGGCGGCCACUUAAGUCGGAUGUGAAAGCCCCUGGCUCAACUGGGGAAGUGCACCCGAAACUGAAUGGCUUGAGUGCGAAAGAGGGUCGCGGAAUUCCCGGUGUAGAGGUGAAAUUCGUAGAUAUCAGGAGGAAUACCGAUGGCGAAGGCAGCCCCCUGGGCUGACACUGACGCUCAGGCACGAAAGCGUGGGGAGCAAACAGG
rnacentral:rRNA from 1 species